rnacentral:rRNA from 1 species
GACGAACGCUGGCGGCGUGCUUAACACAUGCGAGUCGAACGGAAAGGCCCCUUUGGGGGUACUCGAGUGGCGAACGGGUGAGUAACACGUGAAUAACCUGCCCUUGACUUCGGGAUAACUUCAGGAAACUGGGGCUAAUACCGGAUAGGAAUCCUUGCUGCAUGGUGGGGGUUGGAAAGCUUCGGCGGUUUUGGAUGGACUCGCGGCUUAUCAGCUUGUUGGUGGGGUAGUGGCUUACCAAGGCUUUGACGGGUAGCCGGCCUGAGAGGGCGACCGGCCACAUUGGGACUGAGAUACGGCCCAGACUCCUACGGGAGGCAGCAGUGGGGAAUAUUGCACAAUGGGCGGAAGCCUGAUGCAGCAACGCCGCGUGCGGGAUGACGGCCUUCGGGUUGUAAACCGCUUUCAGCAGGGGCGAAGCUUGUGGUGACGGUACCUGCAGAAGAAGCACCGGCUAACUACGUG